rnacentral:lncRNA from 1 species
CUCUUAUGCACCUCUCAAUUCAACUAGAGAAAUUAUGAUAUUAAAUGAUUUAAUACCUCUAUUAUCAUUGAACAAGAAAAUGAAGACAGCGCUGUUAUUGGCAUCAUCCUUUAGCACACAUUAUCCAUAACUAAUUGGAUGAGUGCCAAAUACAAAUAAGAAGAACUUGUUUCCUCCCACUCCUCUAUCUCUUUUUCUUCCCUGACAAUAAGGAUGACUCAUGAUACUAUUGAUAUCCAUCCACCCUCUAUUUCUUCUCUCCCAGCCAAGAAAAAUGAUAUAGCUAGUAGAAUAAAUCAUCCUAAAGAGUCUUGAUUGAAUUAUGUUGAUCCAAGACUGUCACCAUUGAAGAUGCACUCGAUUUGUUCUACACC